CUUCGCCAUGUUGGAAGUUAUAUGAAAAGAAAAUAGUGAUUUUUUACACAAUUCACUGAGGUAAAUUUAAAAAUUGAAGUGUGGAAACGAUAAUAGAGAGGCAAAGAAGGCAGCACGAAGAAUGCGAGAGGCUCGAAGAUGCGAUAACUGAAGAAUUUUUACUGAAGAAACAGACGCCUAAAGACCAAAUCAAUUCAGAUCACAGAGCCUGGGAUCUAUUAGAGAGAUAUCUCUCUUCUACUAGCUCGUUGCUGACAUUGUAUAAUGAUAAUGAUGGGAUGAGGAAAGAAGAAAUAUCUGCUUUAUCUGGGCCCAAUGAGUUUGCUGAUUUCUACAGCAGAUUACGAGUUAUCAAAGACUAUCACAGAAAGUAUCCAAAUGAGCUUUGGUUGACUUUUCUGAUGAAGAAGGUUACGGCAAGUACUUGGAUCUUCACGAACCUUAUGAUAAAUAUAUGAACAUCAAGGGAAUCGAGAGAAUAGACUAUCUUGCGUAUUUGGAAACAUUCGACCGCUUGUUCGACAUUCCCAAAGAGAAGAAAACACACGAAUACAAAAGAUACAUCAUCGUUCUCCUUGAUUACCUUUACUACUAUUGUCAACGUGUCCAACCGCUGGUCGAUCUUGAUAAGGAAAUGGAGGAAACCCAAGAAGAAUUUGAUAGAAACUGGGCGCAAGGAUGAUUUCCAGGAUGGCCCAAAGAUACCGGAAGUGCUUUGGCGCAAUCUGGGGCACAUCUUGAUCUGUGUGGUUUCUCAUCUGCUGAGCUUUGGUUGACUUUUCUGAUGAAGAAGGUUACGGCAAGUACUUGGAUCUUCACGAACCUUAUGAUAAAUAUAUGAACAUCAAGGGAAUCGAGGUAAUUCAACUAGGUCGCAUGCGUUUAGUUAUGA